CCUACGGGUGGCAGCAGUGGGGAAUAUUGCACAAUGGGGGAAACCCUGAUGCAGCGACGCCGCGUGAGCGAAGCAGUAUUUCGGUAUGUAAAGCUCUAUCAGCAGGGAAGAAAAUGACGGUACCUGACUAAGAAGCCCCGGCUAACUACGGGCCAGCAGCCGCGGGAAUACGUAGGGGGCAAGCGUUAUCCGGAGUCACUGGGUGUAAAGGGGGCGUAGACGGCCAUGCAAGCCUGUAGUGAAAGCCCGGGGGCCAACCCCGGGACUGCUCUGGGAACCGUCCGGCUGGAGUGCGGGCGGGGCAGGCGGAAUUCCUGGUGUAGCGGUGAAAUGCGUAGAUAUCAGGAGGAACACCGGCGGCGAAGGCGGCCUGCUGGACCGCGACUGACGUUGAGGCUCGAAAGCGUGGGGAGCGAACAGGAUUAGAUACCCCAGUAGUC
rnacentral:rRNA from 1 species